AAGUGGUAGCUGAUUUUCCGCGCUCGGGUUACCGGUCCACUCGAUCCACUGAGCCAUUCCUAGCCAGGGAAUCCGGCGACCACGUUAUACUUGCGCUCCCAGAGAUUCCACGUAUGAGUGAAAUCAUACAGCACAUGUCUUUCUCUGACUGGCUUAUUUCACUUAGCAUAAUACUGUCCAGGUCCAUCCAUGCUGUUGCAAAAGAACUCCUAAAACCCUUGGCAUUUCCUAAGUGAUGAGAGAAAUGAAGAUGACUUCUGGACCAAACCUAAGGAUGGGUCUGGUUGCCUGAAGAACCAACCAUGGGAUUAAGGGGCUGGAACUUUCAGUCCCACCUGCCUGACCUCUGGGGCAGGGAGAGGAGCUGGAGGUGGAAUCAGCCAUGCCUGCGUAAUGAAGUCUCCAUGAAAACACAAGAAGGAGGGGGUGCAGCGAGCUUCCAGGUUGGUGAACACAUGGAGGUGCUGGGAGAGUGGCACCCUCAGAGAACAUGGGGGCUCCACACCUUUUCUCUGUAUCUUGCUAUAGGCAUCUCUUCCUCCUGGCCAUUCCUGAGUUAUAUUUUUUUAUGGUACAUCAGCAAAUGCAUCAGAAAUCUAGUGUGUAAAAUAGUUUCUCUGAGUUCUGUGAGCCACUCUAGCAAAUUAAUCACAUGAAAGGAGGAGUUCAUCAGAAGUGCAUUUCAGCCCUGGCUGGUGUAGCUCAGUGGAUUGAGCGCGGGCCUGCGAACCAGACAAUCGCGGUUCAACUGCCCCUGCAGGGCAGUUCCCAGCAGGGGACGCACAAAAGGCAACUGUACAUUGAUGUUUCUCUCCCUCUCUCCUUCCCUUGCCCUCUAAAGGUAAGUAAAUAAAAUCUUAUAAAAAUUUAUUAAAAAAAAAAAGAAGUGCAUUUCAGACAGAGGGAACAAGUAUGAGAAGGUCCUAAGGCAGGAUCAUGCCUAGUACUAGAUGAGGUCAAGGUGAAAGCAGGUGGCGAACAGCAAGACUGGUUUUUACUUAGUGAAAUGGAGAACCAUUGCAGGAUUUGGAGUAGAGGAGGGACUUUUUUUAGGGCUACUCUGGCUGCAGUGUUAAGAAUCUCCAAGAGACUUAUCUCCUGUAGAAGCUUCCAAAUACACUGCUUAUUAGUCAUCAAAAAGCACAGACUACUUAGCCAUAAAGAAUUAUAGUGGGUCAGAAGCCCAGGUGACAACUUGGACUUGCAAUUGGAGUCUGAAGCGGGGGUGGGGGAGCCAUGUUAUAAGAUAGAGCCCUUAGUAUGUGGAAUCUGAUGCUCCCUCUGGUAGAUAGUGUCAGAGUGAGUUAAAAUGUAGGACACCCAACUGGUGUCUGAGAGUUGCUUGGCGGUGUGAGGAAACACCACACCCAGCACACGUGAACACGUCAGAGUUGAGUGACACAAUCUUAGCAGGCAAUAACAUUUUCAUGAAAUUUAAUUGAAAUCAGAAUUUUAAAAGUCACAGUGUGCCAAACCCAGGUUCAACUGCCUCCCACUUCAAAAGCCAGUACUCGAGAGGCAGGUGCUGAUGUAAGGAAAGAGGCUUUGUUCAAGUGCCAGCACUGUGAGAAGAUGGGGGACGCUCGUCCCAGAGAUCAUCUUAACAUCUCAGUGCAGGCAGAGGUUUUAAUAAGGACAGAGAUAGGGAGCAGAACAGAGAUCGGGGGAGGGUGUUGAAAAGUUUUCUACAUGCAGACAAGCACAAUAUAUUCUGCUGAGGACCUUAAAGCUGGCCAAGCAGUGGUCUGGUGUUCAUCACCCUGGUUCUUGUCAUCCUCGUUUUACUUCAUCCUAGUCUUCGCAGUUGAAGGUCAGCAAAUCUCCCAGAGCUGGAAUGCCUGAGGGUUAGAGUCUGCGUCCUUUAAAGUUAGUUCUGAGAACUCUUAUACUAAUGUGCUGUUUAUCUACAAGUUAUAUAUCAGUCAGAGUCAGCACUACAGAAACAAUGUGAAAAGAAUGUUGGGGUGGGUUACAACAGGCGUACUUCCUGGGAAUGUAUACCUUACUCUCCACCUGAGGCUCACAUCAGUCCCUACUGCCUUGUAAUCGGACUGCCCUCUGGUGGUUAACUGUUCUUACUAAACUUGGAAAUAAUUGUACUGCUAGUCAAACAAUCAAAUCUCAAGGUCCAAAGGGCUCCCGGUUAGCCAUCCCCAUUAAAUUUGCUGCAGAGGGCUAGAAUUCAUGGUAUGAAAACUGAAUAAUAUGUUUAGGAAUGGUAUCACAUCUUUCAACUACUAAAUUCACUUGUGAUAGAAUAGCAGUUAUCAAAUGUUAACCUCAACCUCUUGCCCCUCUUCUUUUAAAAGAUACGGAAAUGCAGGCUCAGCAAGUCUGAAUUAGACCCAUCAAAUAGGCAGAUACCAGCCACGAGACUCCGGAGGCUCCCCUUUUCCGACCAGGAAGCCUUCCUUAGUGUCACAGCCGUUCUCCACUUUAACUCACAAGACCUCAUCACUGUAAACACAUGAAUUAAAGGCCCAGGGGCCCCACUGUGUUGGCACGUUGGCCACAGUGCACGGAGGCCCUCUCUGCCUGGCCUGAGCUGUGCAAUAAGUAGAUUUGAGGGUUUGCCUGCACACGACUACUUCCUCCUUGUAAGUCUGUCCUCUAAUGAGCCCUAUUUUAUACCUGUGUCACUUGGCACUACUGGUGUGUGUUCAUGACUCAGAAUGCAUAACAGGACUGUCCUGUUAGAGGCAUGGGACAUUAGUCUGCCUGUCAAAACUGGUAGCAUAUGCAUUCUGUAGAUGUGUGAUUAUGGAAUUCUAAUAUAGUCCUGGUAUAUGGAAACUUCAUGCAUGUGAAUUCACUGAACAAAAAAUGAAUACAUUAACCACUGGUAAUUAUUUGGUCUUGGCCCUGUUUCAUAUUUUGUAUGAAUGUUUGACCUUUUUAGUGUCAAGAUGUCAUUUAAAGUUAGCCAGGUAAAAUGAAAACUCCAUUUUCAGUGAAAGAAUUACAGAGUAAGUGAAGAAAUUUUGACAACAAUUACACCUAGGCUACAAAACAAAUACCACCCUGACGACCAAGGACAUAAAGUCACAUCCACCCAGACAGGUCAGAGGGGCAGAGACAUGGACAGGCACUGAGACGUGGAGGUGCAGAACCGUGGGCAGCCCCACACCCACAUGUGGGAGAUAAAAAUUGGGAGGGAUGCCUCAGGAGUGAGGGGUCCCAGCCUCAUACCAGACCUCCCGGCCUGAGGUUCCAGUGCCAGGAAGAUAAGUCCCCAUAACUUCUGACUGUAAAAACCAGUGAGGGUUGGGGUGGUGGAAGAAUUCUCAGGAAUCUCCUCUUAAAGGGCCUGUAAUGGACUCAGGACUUACACAGAGCACACCCUCUGGGUUUCAGCACUGGGGCAGCAGCUAGAAGGGCACCUGUAAUACAAGGGGAGAAACUGAAGUGUCUGACAUCAGGGUGAGUGCAGAGGGAUAGCUUCCUCCCAGACAAAACUCCAGAGACCAGGCAGCAGGAUUGUCCCCUUUCUGAACCCUCCCCCACACAGAGCCACUGAGCCUCAUAGCAGCAACACCAAAUCACAAACUCCAUCAACCUGAUUCAGGUGGGUUGCUCCACCCUGGUGAUUACCUAAGGCUCCACCCCCCCAACCAACUUACCUUUGCGCUGUUCUACAACAGUCUACCCAGACAGGGAGUCAUAGCAGCUCUACCUAUUACAUAGAAACAAGCACAGCCUCCUUUGGGAGGCUGCCGAAAUGAAGAGACAAAGAAACAUGUCCCAAAUGAAACAAAAGAACAAAACUCCAGAAAAACAACUAAACAAAACGUACUUAAGCAAUCUAUCAGACAGAGUUCAAAACCCUGGUUGUUAGGAUGCUCAAGAAACUUACUGGGUACUUCAACAGCAUAAAAAAAGACCCAGGCAGGAAUAAAGUUUACAUGAGUUUAAAUAAAGAACAAUUUACAGGGAAACAACAAUGGAGUUGAUGAAGCCAAGAAUCAAAUCAAUAAUUUGGAAAAUAAGGAAGAAAAAAUAUUCAAUCAGAAGAGCAAGAAGAAAAAAUAAUUUUUAAAAAAUGAGGACAGUAUAAACAUCCUCUGGGACAAUUUCAGACAUACCAACAUUUGAAUCAUAGGGGUGCCAGAAGGAGAAGAGGAAGAGCAAGAAGUAGAAAACUUACUUGAAAAAAUAAUGAAAGGAAACUUCCCUAAUUUGGUGAAGGAAAUAGACAUACAAGUCCAGGAAGUACAGAGAAUCCCAAACAAGACGGACACAAAGGACCACACCAAGACUCAUCAUAAUUAAAAUGACAAAGGUUAAAAAUAAAGAGAGAAUCUUAAAAGCAGCAAAGGAAAAGCAGAUAUUUACCUACAAAGGAGUUCCCAUAAGACUAUCAGCUGAUUCCUCAAAAGAAACUUUGCAUGCUAGAAGGGACUGGCGAGAAGUAUUCAAAGUGAUAAAAAGCAAGGACCUACAACCUAGAUUAUCCAGCAAAUCUAUCAUUUAGAAUCGAAGGGCAGAUAAAGUGCUUCCCAGAUAAGGUAAAGCUAAAGGAGUUCAUCAUCACCGAGCCACUAUUACAUGAAAUGUUAAAGGGACUUAUGUAAGAAAAAGGAGAUCAAAACUAUAAACAUUAAAGUAGCAAUAAAUUUACAACUAUCAACAAUUGAAUCUUAAAAAACAAAGAAUCAGAACAGGAACAGAAUCAUAGAUAUGGAGGUCAUUUGGAGGACUAUCAGUUGGGAAGGGGAAGAAUGGGGGAAAUGGUACGAGGAAUAAGAAGUACA